UAUUCCAACUCGAUCAAAGAUUCGUCGAUCCGCUCAUUCUGCCGGUUGUUAUGCUAUUAUCAGAUUAAGCAUCACAACCUCCUAGAAAGAGUAGAUCGAUUUUAAAACUUUGAAUUUCGUUUAUU
rnacentral:precursor_RNA from 15 species